rnacentral:rRNA from 1 species
CCUACGGGAGGCAGCAGUGGGGAAUAUUGGACAAUGGGCGAAAGCCUGAUCCAGCAAUACCGCGUGUGUGAAGAAGGCCUUAGGGUUGUAAAGCACUUUCAAUAGGGAGGAAAAAGGUAAGCUUAAUACGCUUGCCCUUGACAUUACCUAUACAAGAAGCACCGGCUAACUCCGUGCCAGCAGCCGCGGUAAUACGGAGGGUGCAAGCGUUAAUCGGAAUUACUGGGCGUAAAGCGUGCGUAGGCGGCUUGUUAAGUCAGAUGUGAAAGCCCCGGGCUUAACCUGGGAACUGCAUUUGAAACUGGCAAGCUAGAGUUGAGUAGAGGGGAGUGGAAUUUCAGGUGUAGCGGUGAAAUGCGUAGAUAUCUGAAGGAACACCAGUGGCGAAGGCGACUCCCUGGACUCAAAUUGACGCUGAGGCACGAAAGCGUGGGUAGCAAACAGGAUUAGAUACCCUGGUAGUCACGCCGUAAACGAUGUCGACUAGCCGUUGGGCCCUUUUAGGGUUUAGUGGCGCAGCUAACGCAUUAAGUCGACCGCCUGGGGAGUACGGCCGCAGGGUUAAAACUCAAAGGAAUUGACGGGGACCCGCACAAGCGGUGGAUGAUGUGGUUUAAUUCGACGCAACGCGAAAAACCUUACCUACCCUUGACAUGUCUGGAAUCCUGAAGAGAUUUGGGAGUGCUCGAAAGAGAACCAGAACACAGGUGCUGCAUGGCCGUCGUCAGCUCGUGUCGUGAGAUGUUGGGUUAAGUCCCGCAACGAGCGCAACCCUUGUCAUUAGUUGCUACGAAAGGGCACUCUAAUGAGACUGCCGGUGACAAACCGGAGGAAGGUGGGGAUGACGUCAGGUCAUCAUGGCCCUUAUGGAUAGGGCUACACACGUACUACAAUGGUCGGUACAGAGGGCAGCCAACCCGCGAGGGGGAGCCAAUCCCAGAAAGCCGAUCUCAGUCCGGAUUGGAGUCUGCAACUCGACUCCAUGAAGUCGGAAUCGCUAGUAAUCGCGAAUCAGCAAUGUCGCGGUGAAUACGUUCCCGGGCCUUGUACACACCGCCCGU